rnacentral:rRNA from 1 species
AUGAACGCUGGCGGCGUGCCUAAUACAUGCAAGUCGAGCGAACAGACGAGGAGCUUGCUCCUCUGACGUUAGCGGCGGACGGGAGAGUAACACGUGGAUAACCUACCUAUAAGACUGGGAUAACUUCGGGAAACCGGAGCUAAUACCGGAUAAUAUAUUGAACCGCAUGGUUCAAUAGUGAAAGACGGUUUUGCUGUCACUUAUAGAUGGAUCCGCGCCGCAUUAGCUAGUUGGUAAGGUAACGGCUUACCAAGGCAACGAUGCGUAGCCGACCUGAGAGGGUGAUCGGCCACACUGGAACUGAGACACGGUCCAGACUCCUACGGGAGGCAGCAGUAGGGAAUCUUCCGCAAUGGGCGAAAGCCUGACGGAGCAACGCCGCGUGAGUGAUGAAGGUCUUCGGAUCGUAAAACUCUGUUAUUAGGGAAGAACAAAUGUGUAAGUAACUAUGCACGUCUUGACGGUACCUAAUCAGAAAGCCACGGCUAACUACGUG